CGCACCUUGCACUCCUUGGUAUUCCGAGGAGUAUGCCUGUUUGAGUGUCUUUUUAAUCAUCAAUACUCUCUUUGCUUUUGUGAAGAGUUGUAUUGGAGUUGGAGACUGCUGGUCUAUGUUUUUAGAUCUGGCUUCUCUUGAAUGUAUUAGUUGAAUUGACUUGCAACGCUACGUGUGGUGUGAUAAUAUCUUCACUGCAUAGUUGUGAUGAAGUUUGGCUUCUAACAGUCCUUUGUUGGACAAUUUUGACCAUUAGACCUCAAAUCAGGUAGGACUACCCGCUGAACUUAA
rnacentral:misc_RNA from 1 species